UCCCUCUCAGGGUCGCACCUGGAGAGUUUCCAGUACUCUACCAGUCUCGGCUUUGGGAGAGAGAGUCAAGUAGAGGCAGAUCCAUUCCACUCCUAGCUUGGCCAGUGGCUUGGGAGUGGAAGGCAACCUGCUACAAGU